NNNNNNNNNNNNNNNNNNNNNNNNNNNNNNNNNNNNNNNCCCGUCUUUUCUAGGUCAGAGCCCACGGGGGGCGAGAACGAGGUUAGAGAGGACUCGGGGGAGUCUGAGAGGGUCACCUGCUCCAGCUUCCCGGCCCCUGCGGGCCCAGACUGCCCCAGACUGUCCCAGUCUGUUCUUGUGGGGCGGAGCAUGGGUCCGUUUUGGGGGGGGGGGCAGCCUAGCUCUGCAAUCGCGUGUGUGCGUUCAUUCAUUCGUCAGUGUGUCCUGUCUGUCCGCCCACCCACCCAUCCAUCCAUCCGUCCUCUUUCGAGCAAGACUUCGGAAAACUACCAGUCUACUCCGGGAAGAGGUCGUGAACUGGGGCCUCGGGGGCUCUAUCCAGUCCAGCUGAUCCCAGACCAUGACUCAGUGCCUUGAAGACAAGAAGGAGUCCAGUUCCCUAGAGACACAGAGCUUCCCUCCUGGGCAUCUGGGGAUCAAGGACUUCCCACUGGCGUCAUCAAAACUUUCUUAGCAUUCUUAUCACCCCUUCCUUCCUUCGAUUCCUCUUCCAAGCACUGGAUCUCUCUAACCUGAUGGUUCACCCCCCAGCCUCCUCUGGCUCCCGUCUGGUUUCCCUGCCCAAGCAUUUUCCCCGGUAAGAUACCCGCUUGCAAUAUCUCACCCCAUCCUUGGUCCUCUUCUUGGAGGAAUGAACCCAUCACAACAUAUUUGAAGGGAGGAACUAAAACAACUAUUUGUUAUGCUGCUUUCCCUUUUCCUUGACACCUGGGGAUAAGCCACUCCUGCCAGCUCGCAGUUUUGUAUCCACAGCAAUGCCACCCUUCAGAGAGCAUCUUCAUGGGUGUGAUCUGGGCAGUAGAACCCAAGAUCAAACUUGGCUAGGAUUUCCAUAACAGCACAGAAGAAACGUCAGAAAAAGGGUGUCCAUUUAGGUUUCCUCUGCCUGGGGAUGGGGGGGGUGUGUCCUCAUGCCCCCAGGCAGGCAGUUUGCCACUCCCUGCUCAGGGAGGCUUGAGGGGCCAGAAAUCCAUCCCAGGACUUCCCUUUGGCUACAUCACUGAUGUGUUCACCAAUGUGGCAAAGUUUCCGCUACUGCUGGGGACUGGGGAAGGAAUGAAAACAGAGCCCCUGUCCUCUAGGAUAUAGACAUCUCGUUUCAAACCAGAUGAGUUUGGGUAACUCUACUAGCUGGACUGAAACUGACGUGUCGCCAUUUUGGAAGUCCCCACGCUGGGGAAAAAUGAUGGCAUUUGGGGAUUUUCCCAGUGUGGUAUAUGUUCUGUGAUGCUCCUUAUUGUUCAUGUUCCCCUGUCAUGACAAAGAGAAGGCAUUCCUGGCUUGCUGGUCCGCCUUACGAUAGUAUAGGAAGCGCCCUCUGCCCUCAUGGCCGCCAUCAUGCCCAGGGCACUGCCCCUGGUGACCCGCUUAUCCAUACGGCCAGAGAUCCUGCUGGCACCGGCGACUAAGCGGUUCAGAGAGCAGAUCAGGUUUAGGAAGCUGAAGACCACGGUGACAUUCUGAGCAAAGGUUACGGAAGCCCUUCACAGCCAGGACCAAGAGCCUCCAGCGCCCCUGGGAGACACAAGUCAAGCUAUUGCCAAUAACGAAAAACCAACAGUUCCACCAGAACCCAAGAUGGAUCCGAAGGAAGACAGGAGGGGAGCCCGGGAUGGACAGCAGCUGGAGGUGAACGAUCUUUAAAUCCCUCAUUACCUUUUCGGAGAAUAUAUUCUGAAGUGAGAAACACAGUGUUCCGGCAAGAGUCCUGAUGAGCUCUCCACCUCCCGUGUCGAAAUACAAAGUCUGUGACCGUAGCCAGCAGGAUGCCACUGAUGAUGGAAGUACAGUAUAAUGGCAGUGCAGAGAGGAAAGAACCUUGCUCCUUUAUGACAUUGCCGAGCUGCUGAGUUGUACUUGGAGCAGCUUUGAAGGCAAUUCUCCUCGUAGCUGAAAGCUUGCCAACGGAUAUGAGGAUAGCUCUAAAAUGGUCAGAGUGGUUGCUCCUGGAGAUGGAAUCUAGGAAAUGGGCCUGGGGUCGGGGUAGAUAAUGGGAACUCAUUUUUCUGUGUCAUGUUUUCUUCUUCCUUCCUUCCUUCCUUCCUUCCUUUCGUUCAUUAAAAACAGUGGGCACAGAGUUGGGGAGCACCUGGGUGGCUCAGUGGACUGGGCAUCUGACUCUUGGUUACUCCUCAGGUCAUGAUCCUAUGGAUCCCAGGACUGAGGCGGGCUUUGGGCUCUGUGCUCAGUGGAGAGUCUGCUUGAAGAUUCUCUCCCUCUGACCCUCCCCCCGACUACUGCUAGUGUGUGUGUGUGUGUGUGUGUGUGUGUUUGUGUGCUCUCUCUCUCUCUCAAAUGAGUAAAUAAAUCUUUUUAAAAAAUAUCUGACACAGGGGCUCAGUGUGUUAAAGCCUCUGCCUUCCGGUUGGGUCAUGAUCUCAGGGUCCUGGGAUGGAGCCCCGCAUCGGGCUCUCUGCUCAAGCAGGGAGCCUGCUUCCUCCUCUCUCUCUGCCUGCCUCUCUGCCUACUUGUGAUCUCUGUCAAAUAAAUAAAUAAAUAAAUAAAUAAAUAAAUAAUCUUUAAAAAUAUAUAUCUGACACAAAUAUAACAAAAUAUUACCGUUGGUUCUAGCUGUGGAUACGCACAGGUUUCUACAUCUCUGUAUUUUUCUCUUACGAUUUUCAAAAUAGUUUAAAAUUACUCAGUGGAAGUCUUUUUAUUUACUUAUUUUUUUCGAAAUUAUUUAUUUUAUUAUUUUUUUAAGAUUUAUCUAGUUGAGAGUUUAUUUGUUUGAGAAGCAGACUCCCCGCUGAGCAGAGAGCCCAAUGUGGGACUCAAUCUCAGGACCCUGAGAUUUCAGGACCCAGGCUUUCCAGUGGAAGUCUUUUUAAAUGGGAUCUGGUGGUGGUGGGGAUUAAGAAAAGAGGGGCGCCUGGGUGGCUCAGUCAGUUAAGCCUCUGCCUUCAUCUCAGGUCAUGAUCUCAGGAUCCUGGGAUUGAGCCCCGCCUUGGGUUCCCUGUUUAGCAGGGAGCCUGCUUCUCCCUCUGCCUCCGCUGCUGUCCCCUGCUCAUGUUCUCUCUCUCUAGAUCACCCUCUCUCUCAACUAAUUAAUAAAAUCUUAAAAAAAAAAUAGAUUUUGCAGAAUGCGAUUCUGUGUUUUCUAAAGCCAGAUCCAGGAAUUAGCUAGAAUGACCUCCCCUCAUAUUCUCUGACAAACACAGGACUGGGC
rnacentral:lncRNA from 1 species